GCCCCUGAGAAGCAGCCUCUGGUUCAACUCUCAGAGAUGGGGUCAAGGGCUUCACUGCUGUGGAUCCUGCUGCUCUGGGUUCCAGGCUCUACUGGGGACAUUGUGCUGACCCAGUCUCCAGCCUCCUUGACGGUGUCUCCAGGUCAGAGCGCCACCAUUUCCUGCACGGCCAGUCAGAGUGUUCUUUCUCCUCCCAGCUAUGACCUUAACUGGUAUCAACAGAAACCAGGACAGGGUCCUAAACUCCUGAUCUCUUCAGCCUCCAAGCUAAAGUCUGGGGUCCCAGCCAGGUUCAGUGGCAGUGGGUCUGGGACUGAUUUCACCCUCACAAUUAAUCCUGUGGAGGAGGCCGAUGCUGCAAACUACUACUGCCAGCAGGGUAAGGAGUCUCCUCCCACAGUGAUCCGGGUCUAAACAAAAACCUCUCGAGGCAGCUGCUCACUGAGGCUCAACUCUCUCAGAUGCUCCUCCCCACCGGGACCUCAACCCCCUGUGUCUAGAUUAUUUGGAGAAUGAGGUCAAACUAUGAACCAGAAAAUUCUCACACCAAUGUGUACGUACAUGUGCCCCACAUGACCUGUUUUAUAAUUUAGUUCUCUUAUUACUACAGACCUCACACGAAAGAUCUCUGUAGUUGUUUUAGAAAACUAAGAAUUGUGACGUAGUUAUUUUUUCCCCUUUGAUUUCUCUAUCUUUGUGUUAUUCCCCCAAACUAGGUCUUCAGUUCUAGAUAUAUUUACUUGUCCUUUUCUUCUCAUCCAAAAUUUUAUGUUCUUUUUCUGUGAUACAGAUGGUCGAGGUCUACUCUUGUCUUCUCUCUUUUGUCUGUUUCUGUUUUAUCUGUUUCCUCAUCAGUUGGACAAGAUACUUUAUGUGUCCCCAGAGACGUUGGUGGGGGUUACAUAUGGAAGAAGUAUGCAAAUUAUAUGGUGUGUGGUAGUGGGUCAGGGAGACAGUGAUUAAAUGGCAGAGUGUGGAACUUCACGCAUGAGCUCUAGGUGGUGCUCUCAUCACAGCUCUACUUAGUUUCAAAAGGGUUAUGACUAAAAUUCAAACUCCUGGCAACUAUCAUCAUCUCUCCUUUCCUUUGCUUUUUUGCAACAACACUUUUAUUAUUCUGCGGGAUUCAGUGCUGCAUCUUCAGCCAUUCUGAUGCGAAAUAACAGGCCAGUGACAGCCGCCAUGACAAUACUCCCGACAUCACCAACGGUUGCAUCUCUCUGGGUCCCGUACUUAGGAUCCUGUUCUACUUACUUUACACAUGGUUGAAUACAGGAUCUUUAACAGUUUCCAACCGUACGCUUGGUUCCAUGAAUACUUAGCUCUCUUUUGUGAUAGUUACACACAUACAUUAGAUUAUGUGUAAUAGGACUAAUAGGGCACAUGUGUAUGGUGAUGGAAGGUAAUUAGUCUUUGGGUAGUGAACAUGAUGUAGUCUACACAGAAAUUGAAAUAUAAUGAUUUACACCUGAAAUUUACAUAAUGUUAUAAUCCAGUGUUAUCUCAAUAAAAAAAAGAAAUUCUGCUUACCUGAUUUCAUUCUCCUAGAGCGGAAUGUGAAUAAUGGGCUGGGGUAUUCCUUGCUGUUGAAACAGAGAGCAUUCACAAGAAGGUUUGAAGCUUCAGUUUUGCACAUGUCUAGUACAUAUCGGUGGAAAACAGGACCAGCUACAUAAUUUGUGAGCCUCAGCGUAAAACGACAUGCCUUUAAAUGAUGGACUAUGGUAGAAGUAAUAGGAUGCCACAUCAGAUAUAAGGUCAGAAAAGCCCAUGGCUUCCGUCUUGGACACGUUUGCUCUUUGUCUUUUGACUCAUUAUCCCUGGGACAAGCCAGCUGCCAUGCCGUGGGACCACCUUGUGGUAAGGGAAUGAAGCUUGCCGUUAACCAUGUAAGUGAGAUUGAUGUGGGUCUCUCCCAACCAGUAGAGCUCUGGCCAGUAGCUUGACUGUAAACUCAUGCAGAAGUUUGAGCCAGAGUCACCCCUCUGAUCUGUGCUUGAAUUCUUUCAGAAUCUGUAACAUAAUAAACGUUUGCUGUUUUAAGCUUCUAGUUUUGGAUAUCUGCUGACACAUCAACUGAUAACUUAUUCAGAUUUUGGUAACUGGAGGUGAGCUGCUUGGACUGAGGGGGCAGAGGCGUUACAGAAUGAAGAAAGGAUUUGGAAUCCAGACUUGUAUAAGUAGGAAGCAGCCUGAAAAUACCACUUAGCUGCAAACCCUUGCUACUCUUCAUCAAAAUAGAAGGGUGACACAGAGGGCAGAACCAAAAGCUGAGCCAAAAUCCAUGAUAAAUUAUUCUGGGACCUCAGACCUAAUCGAGCAUCUUCCAACAUCUGCCCGACUGCACUUCAUUGUUGCUGUGGACCAGAGAGUCCUUUGUGCUACCCGUUUCCUCCUUUUUGAAGAGGAAUUGCUAUGUUGUUAUGAUAUCCCUGUCUUACCGCUGUAUGUUAAGUGUGUGGAGGAAGAAUUCUUGUGCCUUUUCUUUCACAUGUCUAGAAAUUGAGAGGACCUGUACUUGAGGAUCCAUGCUUCAGGAACUACACCAGAGCAGCCUCGUCUGCACUUAGAUGUGAUUCAGAUAAUGAGAAUCUGGACUUUGAGCUGAUGCUGUAAUGGGAUAAGACUUUUGCAGACCUAAGAUUUCGGUUAGUAUAUUUUGAGUGCGAAAGGACGUCAACCACUAAAGGCCAGAGGUCAGGAUCAUAUGAACUCCAGAUGAAGCACUCACUAGCUUCGUAAUAUGUACUUUGGGAAAGAUUUUCAAAUACUAGUUUUGUAGCUUAUUAAUGUACUUUUCAUAAUGUGCAGGAUGAUGACAAAAAGGUGUGUUGAUUUGGAUACCACCAUGUACGUCCUUGGGAUCACACAGUAAUUUAUCUGGAUUUAACCCGAACCUCUGAGUUAUGCAGUACUGAGUAAUGCAGUACGCUUUCUCUGUUCUGGGAAUUAAAUAAUGUGAUUCUUCUUUUUCUUCUGUCAAUCCAAGUAAUGUUUAAUAUUCAGACAUUUCCCACACUUUAUUGGAAGAUAACACACAAUGAAAAAACAGACAAGUCAUAAGCCUAUUGCUUAUGGAUGUUAAAAAGAUAGGAUAUUAUAAAAAAAAUUUAGGCAUAAAAUGUGCAACCUGAAGAAAAAAAGGAUAGAUUAAAACACACACACACAUAUAAACACAAAAAUUCUCCAAUAUUCAUAUAUGGAAAAUGUCCCAUAUCUACUAAAGAAACUAGAGGCUGAAAAGAAGACUACAAGAUAACAUAGGAUAGAAAUCCAGUGAUGGAAGUCAGUAGAGGUGAAAAUGCAUCAUAAUUUCCUAUUCUAUAAUACGCAGACUGAGAUGUGGUGCUCAAUUUUUGCUGAAUAUGAUGUAUAGAAAUAAUAUAGAUCCUGUUUGUGAGCCAACCCAUAUUGUAAUGCUUUCUCGUGUGAUUGUAGACAAAUUAUUCAUUUUUUAAGCUCAAAUAUUAUUAUUUUAAAAACCUGAACUAUGAGAAUCCUUAUGAAGUAAUGAAAUGUAAAAUUAGACAAUCCUCCUAAAAGAGCUAAUUUCCUUUCUCAGCAGGUCAAGAUGACUCUAGAAUUUGUGUACAAGUUAGUCUGUUUAUACCUCGAUUUCUUCCUCCAAA